rnacentral:rRNA from 1 species
GACGAACGCUGGCGGCGUGCUUAACACAUGCAAGUCGAACGGUGAAGCGCCUUCCUUUUUGGUGGGUGUGGAUGAGUGGCGAACGGGUGAGUAACACGUGAGUAACCUGCCCCCUUCUUCUGGAUAACCGCAUGAAAGUGUGGCUAAUACGGGAUAUUCUGGGUCUGUCGCAUGAUGGGUCUGGGACAGAUAUUGUUUCGGUGGGGGAUGGGCUCGCGGCCUAUCAGCUUGUUGGGGGGGUGAUGGCCUACCAAGGCGGUGACGGGUAGCCGGCCUGAGAGGGUAGACGGUCACACUGGGACGGAGACACGGCGCAGACUCCGACGGGAGGCAGCAGGGGAGAAUAGUGCACAAUGGGCGCAAGGCUGAUGCAGCGACGCCGCGGGAGGGAUGGAGGCCUUCGGGUUGUGAACCUCUUUCGCCAGUGAAGCAGGCCUGCCUCGUUUGUGGGUGGGUUGACGGUAGCUGGAGAAGAAGCGCCGGCUAACUACGUG